AUUAUUUUCUAAAUUAAUCAAAGAGUGACUGAUCCCAUCAGAUCUCAGCUAAGGAAGGCUGGUCCUGAUUAGUACUUGGAUGGGAGACCACCUUGGAAGACCAGGGGCAGUUAGCC
rnacentral:rRNA from 12 species